rnacentral:lncRNA from 1 species
GUGUGUAUGUGUGUGUGUGUGUGUGUGUGUGUGUGUGUGUCACAGAGAGAUGAUGAGACUAACGGAUCCUAACUCUUUACUGACUCCGUAACCUGCCUUGCUUUUUCUGGUUUUCAGCCUUUCAUAAACAGCCUGCUGGGAAGGAAGCUUCAACUAAUCCAGCGGAUUGGAACCUGACCGCAUGCCCGCUACGCACAAGGCCCCGGGCUGGGCCAGACGACGCCACGGUGAGCUGUGGCCUGGGAAGGGACAGCAGGGAACACCAGCAGGCACGGAGGCCUGGCACCUCUCCCACCAUCCGGGCAGGUCCGCAGUGCCCGGUGGCGUAGCCCGGGAUCCCUCACACCAGACGGAGGCGGGGCUUUGAACCAACCCAUCUGUGGCCUGUCAGCCCCACCCAUUUCCUUGGCCUUGAAAGGCUCGGCCUCCCUUACCCCGCGCCUCUACACAAAACGGUCUCUUUGGAUCCUGACAAUAGGAUACAAAUAUAGGCCAUUUCACAGACCAGAAAACUGAGGCCACGCCACACGGGUCGUGCCAAAGGCACGCCUAGAACCCGGGUCUUUGCUUGUCGGCCCGGGGCUAUUCCUGC